GACGUAGGGCGCGAGCGUUGUCCGGAUUUAUUGGGCGUAAAGAGCUCGUAGGCGGCUUGUCGCGUCGAAUGUGAAAUCUCAGGGCUCAACUCUGACAUUGCAUUCGAUACGGGCAGGCUCGAGUUCGGUAGGGGAGACUGGAAUUCCUGGUGUAGCGGUGAAAUGCGCAGAUAUCAGGAGGAACACCGGUGGCGAAGGCGGGUCUCUAGUACGGUACUGACGCUGAGACGCGAAAGCGUGGGGAGCGAACAGG
rnacentral:rRNA from 1 species